CUCGGCUUUUUUCCGAGGAAGCUGGUGUUGCCGAGAUUGCCAAAAUGCUUUGGAGUUUUUAACUGAAUCUAAGAAAAGUCCAAAAUAGAUUUGAGACUGUAAAAACAGAAACUGCAGCAAGGGGGAUUCGGUGCCAAUGCAUCAACAAAAAAGACAGCCAGAGUUAGUGGAAGGAAAUCUUUCUGUUUUCGUGUCCCCCACGGAGCUCAUAUUUUAUGCAGAUGAUCAGUCAACACAUAAGCAAGUGUUGACACUGUACAAUCCCUAUGAGUUUGCCUUAAAGUUCAAAGUUUUGUGUACUACUCCAAAUAAGUAUGUUGUCGUUGAUGCUGCAGGUGCAGUAAAGCCUCAGUGUUGUGUGGAUAUUGUGAUUCGUCAUAGAGAUGUUCGAUCCUGUCACUAUGGUGUAAUAGACAAAUUCCGUCUUCAAGUUUCUGAGCAAAGCCAGAGGAAGGCUUUGGGAAGAAAAGAGGUUGUUGCUACUCUUCUCCCAUCAGCAAAAGAACAACAAAAGGAAGAAGAGGAAAAAAGAAUAAAGGAACAUUUAACUGAAAGUUUAUUUUUUGAACAGUCGUUUCAACCAGAAAACAGAGCUGUCUCCUCAGAACCUAGUUUACUAACUGUCUUCCUGGGAGUGGUGUGCAUUGCAGCCCUGAUGCUGCCUACAAUGGGGGAUGUGGAAUCGCUGGUGCCUCUCUACCUCCACUUAAGUGUGAAUCAAAAAUUAGUGGCUGCUUAUAUCUUAGGUCUUAUCACAAUGGCCAUACUUAGAACAUGA